ACCCAGACUCCUACGGGAGGCAGCAGUGGGGAAUAUUGCACAAUGGGGGAAACCCUGAUGCAGCAACGCCGCGUGAGUGAAGAAGUCAUUCGUGAUGUAAAGCUCUAUCAGCAGGGAAGAAAAUGACGGUACCUGACUAAGAAGCCCCGGCUAACUACGUGCCAGCAGCCGCGGUAAUACGUAGGGGGCAAGCGUUAUCCGGAUUUACUGGGUGUAAAGGGAGCGUAGACGGUGCAGCAAGUCUGAUGUGAAAGGUCGGGGCCCAACCCCGGGACUGCAUUGGAAACUGUUGAACUGGAGUACAGGAGAGGUAAGCGGAAUUCCUAGUGUAGCGGUGAAAUGCGUAGAUAUUAGGAGGAACACCAGUGGCGAAGGCGGCUUACUGGACUGUAACUGACGUUGAGGCUCGAAAGCGUGGGGAGCAAACAGGAUUAGAUACCCCGGUAGG
rnacentral:rRNA from 1 species